rnacentral:rRNA from 1 species
GGGGGAUUAGUGGCGAACGGGUGAGUAAUAUAUCGGAACGUACCUUGUAAUGGGGGGAUAACUAGUCGAAAGAUUAGCUAAUACCGCAUACGCCCUGAGGGGGAAAGUAGGGGAUCUUCGGACCUUACGUUAUAAGAGCGGCCGAUAUCUGAUUAGCUAGUUGGUGGGGUAAUGGCCUACCAAGGCGACGAUCAGUAGCUGGUCUGAGAGGACGACCAGCCACACUGGAACUGAGACACGGUCCAGACUCCUACGGGAGGCAGCAGUGGGGAAUUUUGGACAAUGGGCGCAAGCCUGAUCCAGCCAUUCCGCGUGAGUGAAGAAGGCCUUCGGGUUGUAAAGCUCUUUCGCAAGGGAAGAAAACUUACACAAUAACACUGUGUGAGGCUGACGGUACCUUGAUAAGAAGCACCGGCUAACUACGUGCCAGCAGCCGCGGUAAUACGUAGGGUGCGAGCGUUAAUCGGAAUUACUGGGCGUAAAGCGUGCGCAGGCGGUUUUGUAAGUCAGAUGUGAAAUCCCCGAGCUCAACUUGGGAACUGCGUUUGAAACUACAAGACUAGAAUAUGUCAGAGGGGGGUAGAAUUCCACGUGUAGCAGUGAAAUGCGUAGAGAUGUGGAGGAAUACCAAUGGCGAAGGCAGCCCCCUGGGAUAAUAUUGACGCUCAUGCACGAAAGCGUGGGGAGCAAACAGGAUUAGAUACCCUGGUAGUCCACGCCCUAAACGAUGUCUACUAGUUGUUGGUGGAGUAAAAUCCAUGAGUAACGCAGCUAACGCGUGAAGUAGACC